rnacentral:rRNA from 1 species
GGCAGCAGCCGCGGGAACACCGGCGGCCCGAGUGUGAUCGUGAUUAUGGGUCUAAAGGGUCCGUAGCCGGUUUGGUCAGUCCUCCGGGAAAUCUGAUAGCUCAACUAUUAGGCUUUCGGGGGAUACUGCCAGACUUGGAACCGGGAGAGGUAAGAGGUACUACAGGGGUAGGAGUGAAAUCUUGUAAUCCCUGUGGGACCACCUGUGGCGAAGGCGUCUUACCAGAACGGGUUCGACGGUGAGGGACGAAAGCUGGGGGCACGAACCGGAUUAGAUACCCGGGUAGUCCCAGCCGUAAACGAUGCUCGCUAGGUGUCAGGCAUGGCGCGACCGUGUCUGUGGGGGGCCGCAGGGAAGCCGUGAAGCGAGCCACCUGGGAAGUACGGCCGCAAGGCUGAAACUUAAAGGAAUUGGCGGGGGAGCACAACAACGGGUGGAGCCUGCGGUUUAAUUGGACUCAACGCCGGACAACUCACCGGGGGCGACAGCAAUAUGUAGGCCAAGCUGAAGACUUUGCCUGAAUCGCUGAGAAGAGGUGCAUGG